AAAGGGUCCGCAGGCGGAUUUAUAAGUCAGUGGUGAAAUCCUAUCGCUUAACGAUAGAACUGCCAUUGAUACUGUAAGUCUUGAAUUCGGUCGGAGUGGGCGGAAUGUGUAGUGUAGCGGUGAAAUGCAUAGAUAUUACACAGAACACCGAUAGCGAAGGCAGCUCACUAGGCCUGAAUUGACGCUCAGGGACGAAAGCGUGGGGAUCAAACAGGAUUAGAUACCCUUGU
rnacentral:rRNA from 1 species